rnacentral:lncRNA from 1 species
CUGUACAAACCAGUCAAUGCUGAGGUGCAGAAGGUGACCUUAACUUCACAGCAGGAAAAAGAGAAAGUGAGGGAAAGAGAUAGAGAAGCAUGAUGGCUGAAUUCGGAUGGAUUAAAAUAUCUUUUUUACUGACACCAGUGCUUCAGAUUACAGCAGUAACUGGACAAAGUUCAGACUCGUUGAUUGUCAGAGCUGGAGAUGACGUCACUUUGCCUUGUGAAAAUGUGAUAAAUGAUCACCAUAGCUGUGUCAGUACAACAUGGAUCUUCAGUGGUUCCAGAAACACAGUAACACUGUUUGAAAAUGGGCAGAUUCACAAAGAUGCCAUGGCUAAAUCAGACAGACUGAGUGUUACAGCGAACUGUUUUCUGGUUAUAAAGAAGGUCACAGUCGAGGAUGUUGGUCGUUACGUCUGCAGGCAGUUUAUAUCAGGACAACAACAAGAUCCAGACUCUCUGGUUGAUUUGUCUGUUAUUACCAUGACUGAACAUCAGACGAAUGAGAGAGUCAUUUGGUUCUGCGCUGUGUUGACAUAUGAAGGCUGUGGACACUCAGUGAAGUGGCUGUAUGAUGACGAUGAUGAUAAGAUUGACACUGAGAUAUCACAGUAUACCUGUGCAUCCAGUGUGGCAUUUACAAUUCCUCAUCUCAAGCAGAAGUCAAACUAUUAUGAGUUAUGUAAGUGUAACAUGACGGAUGAUAAGAGAGGACAAACGCUGCUGUGUUAUGUUGGUCCCCAGUCCUCAUGUGAGAAAACAGGAAGCAUCUUAGUGGAGACUGAAGAGGAACAACAAGGUAGUGUGUCUCUCUCUCUCUUUCUCUCUCUCCCCUCUCUCUCUCACUCUCUCUCUCUCACUCUCUCUCACUGUCUCUCUCACUGUCUCUCUCUAUAG